rnacentral:rRNA from 1 species
UACGGGGGGGGCAAGCGUUGUUCGGAAUUACUGGGCGUAAAGGGCUCGUAGGUGGCCAACUAAGUCAGACGUGAAAUCCCCAGGCUUAACCUGGGAACUGCGUCUGAUACUGGUAGGCUUGAAUUCGGGAGAGGGAUGCGGAAUUCCAGGUGUAGCGGUGAAAUGCGUAGAUAUCAGGAGGAACACCGGUGGCGAAGGCGGAUCUCUGGGCCGAUACUGACGCUGAGGAGCGAAAGCGUGGGGAGCGAACAGG